rnacentral:lncRNA from 12 species
UUUUUUUAGAUUGUUAAAUAGAGUUUCAAAAAGUUAAGACCUUUGAAGAAUUUAUAAGGUAGGAAUGAAAUGGUAGUGUUUGUAAAACCCGUGGUACAGGGCAUGACAACAUAGUUUGUGGCACUUGAUCAAUGAGGGCUAUUAUCAAUAUACUGAUUAUUUUAUUAACAUUACUCCUAUGACAUCAGCUGCCCGUCUUAGUUGGUUUCACAUCUUCUAGUUGUCGGAUCUGUAUUUCCCUUUGUUCGUUCUCAUGUACACAGUGGAGAUUGCUUUCUCAGCCUCGUUUCCAUUUCUGAGUCACAUCCACUGCCUUGGAAAGUCAACUCCAUUUGCGCCCCCAGCAUCAGUUCCUGAGCUACUGCACUUCUCCAGGGCUUAUGAGUUUUGCUUGUUAGAUGCUAAAUUACUGCCACCGGAAAGUGACAAGUCUCACUUUGCAACCUUUUUGCCACAAUAAAAUUCACUCAAUAAAAACGAAAGGAGCCAUAGAAAUGCAAGGUUUGGGGGAUCAUAAAGCAUAUAUAUCUGUUGCAAGCAGUUUGUGUUUAUCCAAGUGGCAGCAUUCAGUGAAUUAAUGCUUAAAAAGUAGACAGCUCCUGUUAAUGAGACAGAUUAUUUAGGAAAACAGAACUGUCACUACUGCUUGCCAUGUAAAGCAGUGGAUUUGUUACUUUUGAAUGUUGGCUGCAUUAGUAAAAACAUCAUUUAUUCAUAUUGAGAUGUUCCCCAGAGCUGCACUUUGGUUAAUAAAGAUAAAACCCUUAUGUUGGUUGUCAGAUGUUAUCUUCCUAUCCCGGGAACCCUUCCAACAGCAACCUGGGAACUUCUUCUCUGAGAUGAUUUGCUUAGUGGAGGAUCUCCGUGUGUGUUUUCCAGAACUCCAGUGAAGACACUAUGAAAUCCAUAAACACAACAAUUUGGAAUCUUCGUUCUUCCAAGAACACCUUCAAGAUACGGCAUUUAUUGUCAGUAAGUAUGAUGCUCAAAGAGCCUAGCAAUCGUUUUGUACCUGAGCAUCCUUUGAGACACUGUGGAAAGUGAAGCGAAAUCUUAGGAACUGGAUUUUAAAAUUGAGGCUCAAGAUGGCAAAAUCUGCUCAGGGGAUUAUAGAGAGAAAGGGUGUCAAGGGAAGUCUUUGCAAAUCCUCUUUUGAAAUUGUAUAUACAGUGAACCUCAAUGGAUUGAAAGGACAUAUUGGUUCAAACCAACAUUUCUAGAUUUAUUUAUCGCUUGGAUUCUCUACUUCCAACCCACCUCAUCAAAAAAAUUUAGGAAACAAGAAACCCACACCUGCUUCACUCAAAUUACUGGAUUCCGUAUGUGCUGGUAGUGGAUAUAUGUUGUUUUAUUUGUCCCAAGUUGCAAAUAACAAAUUUCUUUUCUAUUUUAAAUUGCUGUAUGACAAAUCAUUCCCAAACUCAUUUACUUAAAAUAGCUACUUUAUUAUUCUUGUGGAUUGUGCAAAUUGGGAAUUUGGUUAUUGUUCAGUGGGGUACCCUAUCUCUUUUUAUGUCUCAAGCCUCAGGUGGAUAGUCUCAGAGAUUAGAGGUGACUCUCUAGCUGAAAACUAGAUUCAUCAAAGGGAUAAUUUACAUGAAUUCAUAUGACUGAAAUGACUCAACAAUUAGCACUUCCAACCUUAGAGUUUACAUGUGACCAUUUUAUUUGGCUUGGCUUCCUCAAAGCAUGGAUGCUUCAGGGAACUUAAAUUUCUUACGUGGUAGCUCAAGACUCCAAAGACAGGUGUUGCAGUGAAUCAGGUGGAAGCUGCAAUUAAUCUGAGUCAUACAGUGUCCCUUUUGCUGCACUUUAUUGAUUACACACAAGUCAUAUGCCCACUUAAUGCAAGGGGGAGUAGGCAUCUCAGGGGAAAUGGGGCAGCUCACU